rnacentral:rRNA from 1 species
CCUACGGGUGGCCGCAGUGAGGAAUAUUGGUCAAUGGCCGGAAGGCUGAACCAGCCAUGCCGCGUGAGGGUCAGUGCCCUAUGGGCGUUAAACUUCUUUUGUGCGGGAGCAAUAAUGGUCACGUGUGGCCAGACGAGAGUACCGUACGAAUAAGCAUCAGCUAACUCCGUGCCAGCAGCCGCGGUAAUCCGGGGGAUGCAAGCGUUAUCCGGAUUUAUUGGGUUUAAAGGGAGCGUAGGUGGGUUGUUAAGUCAGUGGUGAAAGUCUGCGGCUCAACCGUCAAAAUGCAAUUGAUACUGGCAGCCUUGAGUACAGUUGAGGUAGGCGGAAUUCGUGGUGUAGCGGUGAAAUGCUUAGAUAUCACGAAGAACUCCGAUUGCGAAGGCAGCUUACUGAACUGCCACUGACGUUGAGGCUCGAAAGUGUGGGUAUCGAACAGGAUUAGAUACCCUUGUAGUC